rnacentral:rRNA from 1 species
UACAGAGGUGGCAAGCGUUGUUCGGAAUUACUGGGCGUAAAGGCGCGUAGGCGGCCUUCUAAGUCAGACGUGAAAUCCCCCGGCUUAACCUGGGACUGCGUCUGAUACUGGGAGGCUUGAGUAUGGGAGAGGGAUGUAGAAUUCCAGGUGUAGCGGUGAAAUGCGUAGAUAUCGAGAGGAACACCUGCGGCGAAGGCGGGUUGCUGGGCUGAUACUGACGCUGAGGCGCGAAAGCCAGGGGAGCGAACGGG